AUGAAGACAUGUAAGACGAUGUCUAUUUGCACCCCGCUUGACGAGGCUCAAGGCACACAUGUGUUCGAUAUCUUGGGUUACAGCAAGCAUAAAGGUAUGGGCCACGACAACAACAGCUACAUAUGGUCCGGGGUUUUCAUGGUCGGCGAUCACAACUGGGCCAUACGCUUCUUCCCUGAUGGGAGGAGAAGGCCAAGAUUACAUUCAGUUUAUCUCGAGCUUUUGUGCAUCACUGAACUCCGGGCAUCCUGCGACAUGAGGUUGGUGGACCAGUGCACUGGAAUCUCGUAUUCAAUGCAUAAAACAGGACCUAAGAUUUUCAGGUCCGGUGAUAUUAGUAGGUUUGCUCCACUGACUCCUAUUUUCAUAAGGCGAAGUGAGAUCGAGGGAUCCGUGUACCUUAGGGAUGAUCGCCUAACGAUCGAAUGCAUCGUCACAGUUUUCAAGAGGCCACAUGUUACCGAAACCAAAUCGUACCCCAAAAUCGACAUGCCACCAGCUGACAUGACUGACCAUGUUGCCAAGCUGCUCGAAGAAAAGGAGGGAUUUGAUGUCAGUUUCCUUGUUGGAGGAGAGAUGAUUGAAGCGCAUAGGUUUGUUCUUGCUAUUCGGUCGCCUGUUUUGAAAGCAGAGCUCUAUGGGUCAAUGCAGGAGGCGAGGCCGGGGCAGUGCAUAACCGUCCAGGACAUGCAACCUGCUGUUUUCAAGGCCAUGCUCCAUUUCAGCUAUACUGACUCUUUGCCUAGCGGUGACGAUACUGAGAUGGUUCGACUUUUACUAGUGGCUGCGGAUAGAUAUGCAAUGGAUAGGCUCAAGCUGGUUUGCCAAAGUAUCCUUUGCGAGGACCUGAACAAGGACACUGUGACAACCACAUUGGCUUUAGCUCACCAACAUAACUGCCACCAGCUUAAGGAUGCUUGCCUUCAAUUUAUCGAAUUAUCAGGUUUUAAGGAUUUCAAGGCGACUUGUCCAUCUUUCAUAGAGGACCCAUUGGAGAAGAGAAGAAAAUUUUCGUGA
rnacentral:rRNA from 1 species